rfam:Phaseolus vulgaris cultivar G19833 chromosome 3, whole genome shotgun sequence.
CUGGAGGAUGAAAUAUGCACUGGGCUCUGAGCAGUUCCGAUAAUGGACUGCUAUACUGAUGCAUUAUGCUAGCCUAGAAAGCUAUGUCUGACUA